UUGACAGAAGAGAGUGAGCACACAGAGGUAUUUGUAUAAAGCUUAUACUAAUGCUUUUGCGUGCUCACUCCUCUUUCCGUCAG
rfam:Gossypium raimondii Chr10_contig_1433, whole genome shotgun sequence.